CCUACGGGAGGCAGCAGUAGGGAAUUUUGCGCAAUGGGCGAAAGCCUGACGCAGCAACGCCGCGUGAUCGAGACGCCCUUCGGGGUGUAAAGAUCUGUCAGUGGGGACGAAACUUGACGGUACCCACAGAGGAAGCACCGGCUAACUCCGUGCCAGCAGCCGCGGUAAUACGGGGGGUGCAAGCGUUGUCCGGAAUCAUUGGGCGUAAAGGGUUCGUAGGCGGCACGUAAAGUCUGGUGUUAAAGGGAGAGGCUCAACUUCUGUACGGCACUGGAUACUUGCGAGCUAGAAUGCGGUAGAGGUAAAGGGAAUUCCUGGUGUAGCGGUGAAAUGCUUAGAUAUCAGGAGGAACAUCGGUGGCGUAAGCGCUUUACUGGGCCGUAAUUGACGCUGAGGAACGAAAGUCAGGGUAUCGAACAGGAUUAGAUACCCUUGUAGUC
rnacentral:rRNA from 1 species